rnacentral:pre_miRNA from 1 species
CUGUGGCGCUAUUGCCAUCUUACUGGGCAGCAUUGGAUUUUGUCUAUGUUUCUAAUACUGCCUGGUAAUGAUGAUUAUGGCGCCCCACA